UACAGAGGUCUCAAGCGUUGUUCGGAUUCAUUGGGCGUAAAGGGUGUGUAGGUGGCGCGCUAAGUCGGGUGUGAAAUUUCGGAGCUUAACUCCGAAACUGCAUUCGAUACUGGCGUGCUUGAGGACUGGAGAGGAGACUGGAAUUCAUGGUGUAGAGGUGAAAUUCGUAGAUAUCGGGAGGAACACCGGUGGCGAAGGCGGCGACCUGGGUAGAUACUGACGCUGAGGUGCGAAAGCGUGGGGAGCAAACAGG
rnacentral:rRNA from 1 species